AUACGAAGGGGGCUAGCGUUGCUCGGAAUUACUGGGCGUAAAGGGCGCGUAGGCGGACAGUUUAGUCAGAGGUGAAAGCCCAGGGCUCAACCUUGGAACUGCCUUUGAUACUGGCUGUCUUGAGUUCGGGAGAGGUGAGUGGAAUGCCGAGUGUAGAGGUGAAAUUUGUAGAUAUUCGGCGGAACACCAGUGGCGAAGGCGACUCACUGGCCCGGUUCUGACACUGAGGCGCGACAGCGUGGGGAGCAAACAGG
rnacentral:rRNA from 1 species